AAAACACCUAAAAUUCAACAGUUGUGGGGUUUUUUUCUUGGCUUAUUUUAACAUGGAGGUCGCAAAUAUUUCUAUAGAUAUUUGUAGUGAAUCUGACAUCAACCUUAGUUGUUACAAUUAAUAUAACAAGAUGGCUAAAUUAACUAACGGUCAUGUCACCCUGCUAACUUGUCACUGCAGUAACAUUAGCUGCUCUGUUUCAACGAUGUCCUGCUGGAAAAAACCUACAUGCUGGCCGAUGUUCAACCGAGCUCUUCUGUCGGGACAUUCAGUGACUUAAACCAACACAACCUGCUCCCUCAUGUCUUCCUGUCCUCUGACAGCAUCACCAGGGUGCAGUUUGACAUCCUGAAAAUGAGAUUGAUAAGAUACCAUGCAGCAUCACAGCUCUUAGCUCUCAACUUGUUGACCUCGGAGAGACUCUGCGAUGUCAGUGCGCUCCUGAGAUUCCACCAGCUCAUCUUGACAUUCCUGAGCCU